UAGUUUUAAUCAGUGGGGUAUUGACAUGGGUCGCCAUCGUCGUAAUCAGAUUUACAGAUUUUGUGCAAGUUUUAGAGAAUUGAAUAAAAUUAGAAUAUCAUUACCAUUGCAUGACAUCAAUGCAAGUGUUUUGGUAUUAUAAUCUAUUUCAAUGCCUUUGGGUUUGAUUGUUUUUACUUUCUUUAUAAAAAUAAUACAAUUUAUUUCAGCUUAUUUUUUUACAAAGUAAACUAAUGUACAUCUAUGUUACAAAAAAUUAUAUGGACAUUAGAUUAAAAAUAUACAGGUCAAAUCCUCGUGGAGCACUUCUGCAGAAGAGAAUGA